rnacentral:rRNA from 1 species
UACGUAGGGUGCGAGCGUUGCCCGGAUUUAUUGGGCGUAAAGGGCGCGUAGGUGGUUCUGUGUGCUCCGCGUGAAAUCGCCCGGCUCAACCGGGCGGGGUCGCGGAUGACUACAGGACUGGAGCCUGGGAGGGGGAAGCGGAAUUCCCGGUGUAGUGGUGGAAUGCGUAGAUAUCGGGAGGAACACCAGUGGCGAAGGCGGCUUCCUGGACCAGAGCUGACACUGAGGCGCGAAAGCGUGGGGAGCGAACAGG